UACGGAGGGGACUAGCGUUGUUCGGAAUUACUGGGCGUAAAGCGCACGUAGGCGGAUUUGUAAGUCAGGGGUGAAAUCCCGGGGCUCAACCUCGGAACUGCCUUUGAUACUGCAAAUCUCGAGUCCGGAAGAGGUGAGUGGAAUUCCUAGUAUAGAGGUGAAAUUCGUAGAUAUUAGGAAGAACACCAGUGGCGAAGGCGGCUCACUGGUCCGGUACUGACGCUGAGGUGCGAAAGCGUGGGGAGCAAACAGG
rnacentral:rRNA from 1 species